rnacentral:tRNA from 1 species
AGCCCCGUGGUGUAGUGGUCCAGCAUAAGCGGUUCUGGCCCGCUUGACCUAGGUUCAAAUCCUGGCGGGGCUACCA